GGAAUUGUGGGAGUCUAAAACUGAAAAUAACUGAACUUCACUUCCUUCUUGGAUUUCAUUUGAGCUGGGAGUGGGUUUUGUCUCUGCCUACAAUUUCAAGCUGGAAAAGGAGUUUUGCUCUAAGAGACACUUCCUGGAAAGUCAGGAAGAAAAUCUUUGGCAUCUAGGUAGCGUAUUUACUUGGAGAAAACUAAUUUCUCUUAGUCCAGUCUUCAUCUCCCAGUGGUCAAUCUACGAAAAUUCCUAUUGGCUAAGGUAAUCCAAAGGUUUUCAUCUAUAACUUUAGUUACUUAGUUCAGCAGCCAAACCCAGGAGUUUUCCCCUUUCUUUCUUUAUUAAUUACUGGUGGGAAGAUUAGGGUCAGUCAGAUAGCCUGGGAAAGGGUGUUAGAUAGCAUGAGGAGAUGUAGGUAGGAGCCAAAGAAUAACAGAAGGCUCUCCUUUCACAUGGGAACUUAAGAGCUGGGUGGAGAUAGCCAGAAGAGUGUCAGGGUCAUAUCUACCAGUUCCCCUUAUCCCUUCUGUUAAAAUAAACUUUGUUUUAUAAUCAGAGGGUCUGGUGUUAAAUUGGCCCCAAAGAGUUCAUAGGUGGGUUAUAAUAUCUUAUAUCCCUCUAGGAUACUUCCCCAUUACAAUAUCAUUUUACAAGAAAUUAUCCCAGAAAACUGCCCUGAUAUUCUUGAGCAAGAGGGCAAAAUAGACAUUGAAAGAAUCCAUAAAUCAAUCUCUACAUUAAAUUCUCAAAAGAGAACUCCCAGGAAUGUAAUUGUCAAAUUCAUAAGCUUCCAAGCUAAGGAGAAAAAUAUUGCAAGAAGUCAGAAAAAGAAAAUUCAGAUAUCAAGGAUAACCAAUCAGGGUUACACAGGAUCUGGCAGCCUCUACACUAAAGGACCACAAGGCUUGGAAUAUGAUAUUCAGAAAGGGUUGUUGCUGCUAUCACCACCACCACCACCACUGCUUCUACUAUAAAUACCUGAGGGAAUAAGAGGAAGGAAUUUAUUAUUUCUUAUAAAUGGAGGAUCAUUCAAAUAUACAGGUGAGGGUAGAAAGUUUGAGCAAAGAAAGAUAAUAAGAAUUCAUUAAGUACUUACUAUGUGUCAAACACCAUAAGAGCUAUGGAUAAAAACACAAACAAAAUACAGUCCUGGCCCUCAAGGAACUUGUAUUCUAAUGGUGAACAUGGAAGCAGGAGGAAAGAAGGUGUUGAACCUGAUCUAAGCAGGGUUAUUGAAGUCCAGAAAGUCAUAAGGAGAACCAGGACAAGAAUAAAGAUUGGUUGACCUGAUACCCUCA
rnacentral:lncRNA from 1 species